AACGAACGCUGGCGGCAUGCCUAACACAUGCAAGUCGAACGAGACCUUCGGGUCUAGUGGCGCACGGGUGCGUAACGCGUGGGAACCUGCCCUUAGGUUCGGAAUAACUCCCCGAAAGGGGUGCUAAUACCGGAUAAUGUCUUCGGACCAAAGAUUUAUCGCCUUUGGAUGGGCCCGCGUUGGAUUAGCUAGUUGGUAGGGUAAAAGCCUACCAAGGCGACGAUCCAUAGCUGGUCGGAGAGGAUGAUCAGCCACACUGGGACUGAGACACGGCCCAGACUCGUACGGGAGGGAGCAGUGGGGAAUAUUGGACGAUGGGCGAAAGCCUGAUACAGCAAUGCCGCGUGAGUGAUGAAGGCCUUAGGGUUGUAAAGCUCUUUUACCCGGGAUGAUAAUGACAGUACCGGGAGAAUAAGCACCGGCUAACUACGUG
rnacentral:rRNA from 1 species